AAGUUGGGCGAUGUUUUUGGGGUUUCAGUCCAUUUUCCAGUCCUGAUUUCAGCCUAAUUUGGGGGUUGGACCAGAGGUCCCUUCCAGCCUGAGCUGUCCUGGGGUUCUGUGGUGGCUGCAGUUAUUUGGGGGAAACAGGGGGGAAUUGGCUCCUGUGUGUGUGGAUCCCUGAGGUGAUGCUCUGCCCACCCUGUUCCCUGUGUUCCUGGGAUCUCUGAGAGCUCUCGUGUUCAGGGCCUGUGGGUCUGCAGAGGGAUGCCACGUUGCUCAGUAGUCAGUAAGGAUAUAUUUUUUCUGUGCUGGCAGAAAUAUCAAAGGAUGUCUUUAACCAAGGAAUUCUUGGAUUUUCCCCUCUGACCACCUUAACUCCCUGCCUGAAGGGAUCUCAGGGAAUGUUCCUUCUUUCCAGGCCUCCCACUGCCAGCUCAGCCCUCUGGCCUUGCUUUCAAUGAGAGCUCAAUACUGGCAAGCUCAUUCCCAGAAGUUUGUGCUGGAAGUUGAUCUCCCAGUUAGUUCCUCCACAGAACCACAGCUGAACCCAAGCAGGGUCAGAGGGGCCAACUUUUGAGGUGUCAGCACCAUGGAAAUUGAUAAUCAGGAACAGGAGGCUGAUACCAUGAAAAUAUCAAUGAUUCUAAUUGCUGCCAAUUCAAGUCCUGACCUUCAUUUCUAACAAACUUUGCAGAUUAAUUCAGACCCGAGGAGAGGACUCCUCUUCCUCUCUGCAUUUCCCGUGUGCCCCAGACCUGAGCUGCCCGCGUGCCCUGGAGUUCCCGAGCUGCCUCUUUGGCAAGAUUUACACCCCUAACCUUUCUGCUGGCACCUGGGACUGAACUCUGCUGCUGGAGAGAGGUGAUUAAAGCCACCGUGCCCGCUCUGCUUCGCUUUUGAGAGGGGAAGGAACGGCUGUGCCGGAGCCAGGCUCGGGCUCGCUGCUCAGC